rnacentral:rRNA from 1 species
UACGUAGGUGGCAAGCGUUGUCCGGAUUUAUUGGGUUUAAAGGGUGCGUAGGCGGCUUUGUAAGUCAGUGGUGAAAUAUGGCAGCUCAACUGUCAGGGUGCCAUUGAUACUGCAGAGCUUGAGUACAGAUGAGGUAGGCGGAAUUGACGGUGUAGCGGUGAAAUGCUUAGAUAUCGUCAAGAACACCGAUAGCGAAGGCAGCCUACUGGGCUGUAACUGACGCUGAGGCACGAAAGUGUGGGGAUCAAACAGG